GGGAUCCGAACUGGUGAACCCCAGGUCACUGAAGCAGAACAUGGGAACUUAACCAUUGCGCCACAGGGCCGGCCACAGAGACCUUGGCCACUUUUUAAGUUGUAUGUCCUUAGACACAUCACGUAUACAUUCUGAGGCUCUUGUAAAAUGGGGAUGUCACUUAACUUGUAAGGUUAUUGUGAACAUCAAGUGAAAAAAAAAAAACCAGAUCUCCUAACUGUUAUUGUAGUGCCCAAUAAGGGUGAUUUCCCUUCUCCUCCUCCUCUUCUUGAGAGCAGAGGCUCUGCUUUUAUUUCUUUGUACUUUUCGUGUUACUGCACGCAAUGGAGAUGCAUUCAUAUAUCCUUGUCUCAUUUUUGUAUAUAUCACGGUGGGAUGAAGGAACUAGUGGCACCCCAAAUGGAGAGGGGGCAGGCGAGGUUUUGUCAGUGGCUUUUAAUUUCUCUUCCUUAUGAAAUUGGGGGCUGCUCCAGGGAAUAGAAGUCCCUGGGACAGUCCUGUUUUCCAUUGCCUUUGGCUUCCGCAUCACGGUCCUCUUUCCUUUGGUUUGGUGGUCUGUGUUCAGCUUGUGGUGGGUCUUGUCUGGCAUGUUGGGGUUGGCACUGAACACGUCAGUGAUGCCUGGAAUGUCCUCCUUCAUGGCCUUCUGAGACAGGGGCCUCAGCUGAUUCGCCCUGCAGGUCUGCUCUCAGUUGCAAUUUCUCUUUCCAGGAAAAAAAAAUUCUUUAAAAAAUGCUUUGGGGAGGCUUUCUUAUUGUGGCUGAAGGCGCUGGUGCGUCGUUCGCAGCCAAGUUUGGGUUUGAAUCUCCCUGGGGUUUGAGGCUGUUCAACUGCAAUUCCUAACAUUCUCUUGCUUUUUAUGCAUGGACCGUCUUCGGGAUCCUUGGUGAAUUUUUCACUCUGGGGUUUUCAGGAGAAAGGUUUGUCAUUUGUCAUCACGCUCCUCAUCCAUCACAGUUGGAGUAAGAGUGGUUAGAGGGAAAAGGUGGAAUCAGUUGUUCACAUUUUUCUUUCUUCCAGGUAAGUCUUUUCCCCCUGUCUUUCUGGAAGUAAACCAAUUGGGAAAUGCUUGGGCUGGUGUUUCUGGGAUGAUCUUGGCAUGUAUAGGAAGAGGGGUGCUUUUUGCUGAUGGCCCUGGGAUUGGUCCUGUGUCCCUGAGGUGUGGUUUAGCAAGAGGUGAACAGUCAUUUAAUUAUUUAUUGGGUGCCUGGAGAAUUUUAUAGGCAGGAGAGCCUAGGGCAGUUCCACAAAAGAAGGCCAAUCGUGGAGCUUUUCAUGCAGCUCUCUUCUUGGGCUUGAAGCCUCUGAUGCUCCCCAAUGCUUAUCAUAGCCCCCAGUGCCAACCAAGUGUCAGGUAGGGACAAUAGAGUCAGCUGAAGCUCUUUCUUUGCAUGCGCUCAUGUUAACUGAUCCAGUCAGACGUGGGUGCCCUUCCAAACCAUUAUGCCUUGUUCCUCUCAGCUGCUAGGAACAUUAAAAGAUCUUAUUUGAAGGCAAACAUUACUGUGUCAAUGAUGCUGAAACUGGAGGUCUGUAGAGUGGCACUUCGUUGCCUUGAUAAUUAUUCCUGCUUUGAGCCAUAACACUAUGAUUAUUGAGGUUAAAAUGGAGGGGCUGAGAGAGCCUUGAGGCCAUCCAAAGCAUUCUCCUGCCUUCAGGCCAGGCCCUGUGUUGAAGGAAGGAGGAAGAGGAGUGGACUGUGCAUGGAGGAAAAUUCAAUAACGACUGGAAUUCUGGAUGUAGACCCCCUCACCCCCCAGCCUGAGACCACAGCACAGUUUAACCCGGUGAUGGGCACAGAGGGCAGAGACUGCACCAGCACUGCAGGUUGGCUGAGCAUUCUGCUUAAACACACUUUUUUUUCAUUUCUUUUUUAGUGUGCACCGUCUGCUGGGACUAUAGAGGUUUUGCUUGUUGUUUUUUUUAACUUUGGGACAUAGAACUCUCUAGUUGUGUUUGUGUUUUGGUAACCACAUGUAACAGCCGGUGGAAUCUUUCUUCUCUCUGCUUUCUCUGAACUUUCCAAAGAGUGGGCCCCUAUCUCUCGGGGGAUUAACUCCUUGUGGCCCCUGCAUCGUUGGUGCUCCCCCACCCUGGGUCAGCAUCUAAACCUCUGUACACAGGAUGUUUUCUCCAGCGCUUAUCAGAUGGCGUAGGAGAUGUGGGGUGGAGAUAGAGGUAACGUUUAACCCAUCCUGAAUUCCUUUCAUGAGUUGGGGCCCAAGACGAACUCAGCCUCAGAACAGAGGGAGGGUUUGGCCGGAGCAAAUGAUGCUGGGCUCUCCAUCUCAAAGGGAGGUGUGGGCGCCUGUGGUGGGGGGCACAAAGGAGCUCCUUUUCGAUGGCUUAUUUAACACCCCUCCCUGACACCAGUGGGUGGGUUUGGAGCCCGAGGAAUCAAAGAGAAAUUUAACAAACGACUCUUUCUUGUAUGUGGGCUGAAUAAUUGAAUUUGUGGGUAAUCCACACCAGUUUUUUCUCUUUUCUCAUCCUCCUUCCUUUCUCUCAGACCAGAAUCUUGCUCAGUGUGCCGGUUUGAGAUCCCUUGCUGAGGGAAGGGAAAGGAAGGUACCUUGGAACAGCUGGCAGUCAGCACUGUCCCCAGAAGACUCUAUUAUCGAGGUGGAGGGACUGGAGAGUGGAUUGGUGCCAUUUUGUUAUGGGUUGCGUGCAUUCUUCGAAACCUACGGGCAUGACUGUCAGAUUCAUUGAAGGGAUGGACCUCCCAGAAGCCAAGAGGUAGGAGAUCUUGUGGCCUGGGAAUCAGGAGGCCUGCACCCUGGGAGCCACUCACCAUGGGGUGGGAUUCAGCCCACCCAGCUUCCAGAACAGAGAACAUCAUUCUAGCUUCUGCAUCAUGAUUCCACUGGAAAACCAUUUCUGUUGAAUGGACAUUGACUAAUGCAUGCUUUUCUUCUUACUGACACCAAAGAGAAAGGUCAUGCCUCUUAUCAUUAGGACAUUCUUGUAGGGGCACCAGAGUAAUCUCAACCACUUUGAGUAACAGGAUUAAGUCUGUUGGGGCAUCAGAAGGGGAGUUUGUCAUUACUGUUUCCCCUGAGAUCAGGGUUGAUUAUCACACUGGCCACCAUAUUUGCCUUUUCCUGACCUGUUUUGUCAGGUGAGUCGGCAACUUUACCCAUAGCCAUCCACCCGCCUGGGGAAGACACAUCUGUAAAAAAUUAGACCAGUUGGUGUUUCGGCACCUGCUAGGUGGACGUAGCAGUACAUUUAGGAAGUUCCUCAUUAUGACUAGUCUUCGUUUCUCUUGUCGUAAUCUAAAUAUACUUCCUUGAUUCUUCUUUUCAAGUUUGACGGAGAAAUAAUUGACAUACAUCACUGUAUAAGCUUAAGGGGCACAGCAUGAUGUUUUGAUUUACAUAGACUGUGAAAUGAUUACCCGCAAUGGGUUCAGCUAACGUCCAUCUUCUCAUGUAGAUAUGAUGAAAAGAAAACAAAGAAAAAGGAAAAAACUUUUCUCCUUGUGAUGAGAACUCGUAGGAUUAACUCUCUUAACAACUUUCCUGUCUAUCAGACAGCAGUGUUCACUGUAUGUUGUACAUGUAACGUCAUGUUGUAUGUUUCAUCGCUGGUACUUAUUUAUCUUAUAACUGGAAGUUUGUACCUUCUGACCACGUUCCUCCUAUUGCUGUGAUUCUUGCAACCAAGCCGGUGAGCUGAGGCUGGUUGGACAGCCCAAAACUCUGAAUUAAUUCUCUUGGGUGAAACGCUGGGUGUGGCUGUUUUUCCACUGGAGGUGACAAAAAAGAGGGGGGGGAUCUAUUUAGGUUUCAUUUGAGGCAGAGAUCUGGCCUUGCUGGGUUUCCUUGUUUGUUUAUAAACUGCUUAAAUGAGGUUUUUUCCUCCUCUCUCCGUUUCUCUCCUUCUCUUAUCCUAACAGUCUCAUAGGUAAACUUAGAAGGAAGACAAAUACUUCUCAAACUGUCACCGAGGGUGCUGUAAAAGAGACAUUUGGACAGUGGUGCUGGGAGAUCCUUGUCUUUGCUCCACGUUAAUACAAAGGGAUUGGGGUAGCCCAGAUCACCAGGGGAGGGCAGUUUUUCUUCAUUUAGCUUUUAAUUGCUUUCUUUCACUUUUAUGUAUAAAAGAUUGUCCAUUUAAUUAACUCAAGAAUGCAAUUUCAAAAACACUAAUGCUUUACACAUGAUGGCUUUUAAAAUAAAAGUAGCAUUCUAAUAUUGCGUAAUGUUUUCCUAUCCCCUCACUCUUCCCCUCCUCCUCCCACCACCCCUC